GUUCUUUUCUUUGGUGUUCUGGAGCUCCAGCUGCGCUGAGCUUUGAAAUAGAAGGAAAGGAUGUUUGACACGACAUUUACAUUCCCAAGAUGACAAGGAUGGAUACCCUGGCACCAGUGAGUGCACUGAGGAUGACAUUUUAACAGAGGACGCACUGCUCAUCUUGUUCAUUGACUGCCCCAAGGAGCUUUGUCACCAUGAGCAGAUCUGUGGCUGCAGCCCAUGACACCCCUUCUUGCCUCUUGCACCCUCCACAGAAGAUGCAGCCCCCUGUAACUGUCUGUAGUUGUCAAGCAAUGGUGGGUGUGAACUGUUGAGGGUUGUUUCAAGAUGGUGGGGUGGGAGAUGGAAUGCAAAUAGCUCAGGCAGUGAGGACUGAAAAGCAAAGCAACCUUUCGUGUGCGCAUGUCUUCCCUCUGAUCUGGGUAGUGCUGGGGGACUCCUCCACUUGACACAUACGUCCUUCUGUUCUGGUGCCUUUGGAGGGAUGAGUUUGAGUGCCACCACUAAGCUUUCUCCCUGGUCCCUGUAUGGGUCAGAGCCCGGUCUACAAGCAGCUGCUCCUCACUAACAGCAGCACAGUGGUCCAAUCAGUCAUAUAUUUUCAAAGUGGGGGGAGCAAAUCAUUUGGGGGAUAAACCUCAUGGUGGCUGCAGAAAAAAAAAUGACAGCAUGACAGCACAAAGACUGUAAAGGAAGAUGAUGAUGACUAACUAGUUUUGGAAGGUGACUGUGCUGGAGCCACCAGAUUUUGGCAACUACCUUGGUGGAAAAAUUUUUGAUAAUUGGGAGAGAGAGUUUGUCUCAUUUUAAUUGAGACUAACCACAUUCAGAGCAGUGUCUGUGUCGCCUAGUGUAUCUAUCGCCCUGCCUUUUCAGCUUGGCAGUCUGUUUUAUUUUUUCCCUGCAUGUUCUGCUGAUUUGAAAAAUGAUCCGUUCUUCAGAGCAUCCCUGGUAAUUUGGACAACAGUGUUGCAUUUCUUCUGAGGCUGAUGCUUUUCAAAGCUGUAGCCUGUCUUUCUGCAGCAGCUAUGCCACCUCUCUAUAAUGUAUAGCCUUAACAGGUCUGAGGGGCUGCACUUUCCCUAGGUGCAAAGAAAUCUGAGAUGACAUGACAAUCAACAGAAACAUUUAUUUUUUCAGGUAACCUACAGAUAAAGUGAGUAAUCAGAUCUUUUCUGAAAUGAAGGACUAUUAGGGAACACCAUCACUAAUUUCACUUUGUGAAACAUACUGGAGAUCUCUAAAUGAAGUUCCCAUUAGUGGUAUACUUAUAUCUGUAUACAUACAUAUAAGCAUUCUGCUUCACACUAAGGUACUCCACAAUUUUGUUUGUUGUUUUAGCAGUUAGUGGGUUCAAAAAAACCCAUGAUCUUUUUAGCAAGACUUAAGAGCUGCAUGAGUUUAGAUCUACUGACUUAAGGGAGAUAUUGCAAUACCGAUUUAGGGCGUAAGUUUUUAUUUUUAUUUUUAAAAAAUCUUGCAAACUCUGCUAUGAUGUAGGGGAGGCUGCACUGAACCCCACUGUUACAUCAAAGGUACACCUGCUUCCACAGGCUGCCCUCCAGUCACUGUUAUUAAUGUGAGCGGAUACCUGAGGGCUGAUACAACUUGCUUUAUUAAUAGGACUUGGACAGCUGUAUUGUCCUGUGAACAGGACAAUCUGCCAAGAACCAACCACCUGGAACCACAUCUUUGUUUCAUCUGAACCACAUCUUAGUUCCACCGGCUGAAUAAAGCUUUGUCAUAUGACUUGUGGUCAUCACUGUCAGGUAUAUCUAUAGGUAAGGGAAGGGGACUUACCCUAGGAGGGACAGAUGCAAGUCGCCUGCUCCCUGGUUCAGGGAUGCCUGACCAGGAAACUCCUCGAGGUUGAGAGCCCAAAUUACUUGGUGGUAUAUAGACUCUGCUUUAUUUGCUAACUAUUGAUUGAUCUUUCUUUCUGUUCCUCUGAUAAGUGAAUAGCCUAUGCCUGCGAAUUAGUAAGUUGUAUCCUACUCAUUGAUUACUUGUGUUGUGACAUUGAUUAAGCAUAACAUACGAAAACAGCUA